rnacentral:rRNA from 1 species
GUUGUAUAGUCAAGUAAUUAAGUGCAUGUGGUGGAUGCCUUGGCAGUCAGAGGCGAUGAAAGACGUGAUAGCCUGCGAAAAGCUCCGGGGAGGCGGCAAAUAUCCUUUGAUCCGGAGAUGUCUGAAUGGGGGAACCCACCUACUUUAAGGUAGGUAUUGCAACAUGAAUACAUAGUGUUGCAAGGCGAACGAGGGGAAGUGAAACAUCUCAGUACCCUUAGGAAAAGAAAUCAAUUGAGAUUCCCUCAGUAGCGGCGAGCGAACGGGGAUCAGCCCAUUAAGUUAUGUGUGUUUUAGUGGAACGCUCUGGGAAGUGCGAACGUAGAGGGUGAUAUUCCCGUACACGAAAGGGCACACAUAAUGAUGACGAGUAGGGCGAGGCACGUGAAACCUUGUCUGAAUAUGGGGGGACCAUCCUCCAAGGCUAAAUACUCCUGACUGACCGAUAGUGAACCAGUACCGUGAGGGAAAGGCGAAAAGAACCCCUGUGAGGGGAGUGAAAUAGAUCCUGAAACCGCAUGCAUACAAGCAGUGGGAGCACCUUCGUGGUGUGACUGCGUACCUUUUGUAUAAUGGGUCAGCGACUUAUAUUCAGUAGCGAGGUUAACCGUAUAGGGGAGCCGUAGAGAAAUCGAGUCUUAAUAGGGCGUUUAGUUGCUGGGUAUAGACCCGAAACCAGGCGAUCUAUCCAUGAGCAGGUUGAAGGUUGGGUAACACUAACUGGAGGACCGAACCCACUGUCGUUGAAAAGCCAGGGGAUGACUUGUGGAUAGGGGUGAAAGGCUAAUCAAGCCUGGUGAUAGCUGGUUCUCCCCGAAAGCUAUUUAGGUAGCGCCUCGGACGAAUACCAUAGGGGGUAGAGCACUGUUUCGGCUAGGGGGUCAUCCCGACUUACCAAACCGAUGCAAACUCCGAAUACCUAUGAGUACUAUCCGGGAGACAGACUGCGGGUGCUAACGUCCGUAGUCAAGAGGAAAACAAUCCAGACCGCCAGCUAAGGCCCCAAAAUCAUAGUUAAGUGGGAAACGAUGUGGGAAGGCAUAGACAGCUAGGAGGUUGGCUUAGAAGCAGCCACCCUUUAAAGAAAGCGUAAUAGCUCACUAGUCGAGUCGGCCUGCGCGGAAGAUGUAACGGGGCUAAAACUAUGUGCCGAAGCUGCGGAUNNUGCUGGAGGUAUCAGAAGUGCGAAUGCUGACGUGAGUAACGACAAAACGGGUGAAAAACCCGUUCGCCGAAAGACCAAGGGUUCCAGUCCAACGUUAAUCGGGGCUGGGUGAGUCGACCCCUAAGGCGAGGCCGAAAGGCGUAGUCGAUGGGAAAAUGGUUAAUAUUCCAUUACUUCUGUGUAAUGCGAUGAGAGGACGGAGAAGGCUAAAUCAGCCUGGCGUUGGUUGUCCAGGUGAAAGGAUGUAGGCAUGUAUCUUAGGCAAAUCCGGGGUACUCUAUGCUGAGAUCUGAUAGCAAGCUGUACUUGUACAGCGAAGUGGUUGAUGCCAUGCUUCCAGGAAAAGUCUCUAAGCUUCAGUUACACAGGAAUCGUACCCGAAACCGACACAGGUGGUCAGGUCGAGUAGACCAAGGCGCUUGAGAGAACUCUGCUGAAGGAACUAGGCAAAAUGGUACCGUAACUUCGGGAGAAGGUACGCUGUUGUUGGUGAUGGAACUCGCUUCCUGAGCUGACGACAGCCGCAGAAACCAGGCCGCUGCAACUGUUUAUUAAAAACAUAGCACUCUGCAAACACGAAAGUGGACGUAUAGGGUGUGAUGCCUGCCCGGUGCUGGAAGGUUAAUUGAUGGGGUUAGCGUAAGCGAAGCUCUUGAUCGAAGCCCCAGUAAACGGCGGCCGUAACUAUAACGGUCCUAAGGUAGCGAAAUUCCUUGUCGGGUAAGUUCCGACCUGCACGAAUGGCAUAAUGAUGGCGGCGCUGUCUCCAGCAGAGGCUCAGUGAAAUCGAAAUCGCUGUGAAGAUGCAGUGUACCCGCGGCUAGACGGAAAGACCCCGUGAACCUUUACUGCAGCUUGACACUGAACUUUGACCUUACUUGUGUAGGAUAGGUGGGAGGCUUUGAAGCUGGAACGCUAGUUCCAGUGGAGCCGUCCUUGAAAUACCACCCUGGUAAUGUUGAGGUUCUAACUCUGUCCCGUGAUCCGGGACGAGGACCGUGUCUGGUGGGUAGUUUGACUGGGGCGGUCUCCUCCUAAAGAGUAACGGAGGAGUACGAAGGUGCGCUCAGCGUGGUCGGAAAUCACGCGUAGAGUAUAAAGGCAAAAGCGCGCUUAACUGCGAGACCCACAAGUCGAGCAGGUACGAAAGUAGGUCUUAGUGAUCCGGUGGUUCUGUAUGGAAGGGCCAUCGCUCAACGGAUAAAAGGUACUCUGGGGAUAACAGGCUGAUACCGCCCAAGAGUUCAUAUCGACGGCGGUGUUUGGCACCUCGAUGUCGGCUCAUCUCAUCCUGGGGCUGAAGCAGGUCCCAAGGGUAUGGCUGUUCGCCAUUUAAAGAGGUACGCGAGCUGGGUUUAGAACGUCGUGAGACAGUUCGGUCCCUAUCUACCGUGGGCGCUGGAAAUUUGAGAGGAUCUGCUCCUAGUACGAGAGGACCAGAGUGGACGAACCUCUGGUGUACCGGUUGUGACGCCAGUCGCAUCGCCGGGUAGCUAUGUUCGGAAGGGAUAACCGCUGAAAGCAUCUAAGCGGGAAGCCUACCUCAAGAUAAGAUUUCCCUAGGACUUUAUGUCCUCUAAAGAGCCGUUCGAGACUAGGACGUUGAUAGGUUGGAUGUGGAAGCAUAGUGAUAUGUGAAGCUGACCAAUACUAAUUGCUCGUGAGGCUUGACUAUACAACACCCAAGCAGUUG